rnacentral:piRNA from 1 species
AGAGGCAGGUGGAUCUCUGAAUU